AUUAAAAUAAAAUAUAUUAUUGUAAUUCUUUAUAAAACAUUUUUUUUAAGAAAUUGAAUUUUAAUAAAAACUGAAAAGGAUAUUAAUUUUUUUUUAAAAAGUAAUUUUUUGUACCUUUGGCAUAAGGGACUUUUAAAAUGAAAUAAAUAUUUAUUUUAUUCGAAAUCAACUGAUCUAUUUUAUUUGUAUAUAAUAUAUUGCAAAAUAUUAUUUAAAAAUAAAAUAGAAGUGAAAUUCUUUUCAAAGUUGAGGAUAUCUAAUUAAAAAUAAAAAACUAAAAGUUUUCUUAUAAGAAUAACUAUUAAUAAAACUUAUAAGUAAAUAUUUAAGGGAUAAGCUUUAAAUAUAAAUUAUAUAGAUUAAUUUUGUUCUCUAAAAAGAAUUAAAAUUAUUCUUUUACUAUUAUAAGUAAUUAACGAUUUAUUUUUUAUAAAAAUAAUUUAUUUUUAAAUUAAAGUAACGUUUUUUUAAUUUAAAAAUGAAAGUAUUAGUAAAAUAUUUAAUUUUUGGAUAUUUUAAGAAAUAUUUUAAUGUUUUAAAAUUAAAUUUAAAAAACUCGGCAAAGAAUUUUUUUGACUGUUUAUUAAAAACAAUGUAUUUAGUUUCAAAAUGAUUAAAUAUCAAUCCUGCUCAAUGAAUAUAUUAAAUUGCUGUAGUAUUUUGACUAUACAAAGGUAUUGUAAUAAGAUUUUAAUUGAAUGCUAAGAGAAUGGAUUCACAAAAAAAAUCUUUUUUAAAUUUAAAAAUUUAAGUUAUUUUUAUUUGUGAAGAAACAAUAAUAAAAAUUAAAGACAAGAAGACCCUAUGAAUUUUUAUAACCCUUAUAAAAAAUUUUUAUAAAGGUUAUUUAAUUGGGGCGAUUAAAAAAAAUAAUAAACUUUUUAAAUUUUAAUAUGAUCCAUUAAUAAUGAUUUUAUGUAAAAAAUACUCUAGGGAUAACAGCGUAAUAAUUUUAGAUAGAUCUUAUAGAAAAAAUAGUUUGCGACCUCGAUGUUGGAUUAGGAUACUUUUUUAAUGAAGAAGUUAAAAUAAGAAGUUUGUUCAACUUUUAAAAUCCUACAUGAUCUGAGUUUAGACCGAUGCGAAUCAGGUUGGUUUCUAUCUUAAUUUAAAAAUUAAUUUUUUAAUUAGUACGAAAGGAAUUUUAAAAAAAAAUUAUUUUAAUAAUAUCAACAGUUUUUGCAUCAAUUUUUGGAAUU
rnacentral:rRNA from 1 species